CCUACGGGAGGCAGCAGUAGGGAAUAUUGCUCAAUGGGGGAAACCCUGAAGCAGCAACGCCGCGUGGAGGAUGAAGGUUUUCGGAUUGUAAACUCCUUUUGUUAGAGAAGAUAAUGACGGUAUCUAACGAAUAAGCACCGGCUAACUCCGUGCCAGCAGCCGCGGUAAUACGGAGGGUGCAAGCGUUACUCGGAAUCACUGGGCGUAAAGAGCGCGUAGGCGGGAUAGCAAGUCAGAUGUGAAAUCCUAUGGCUUAACCAUAGAACUGCAUUUGAAACUGUUAUUCUAGAGUAUGGGAGAGGUAGGUGGAAUUCUUGGUGUAGGGGUAAAAUGCGUAGAGAUCAAGAGGAAUACUCAUUGCGAAGGCGACCUGCUAGAACGUAACUGACGCUGAUGCGCGAAAGCGUGGGGAGCAAACAGGAUUAGAUACCCCAGUAGUC
rnacentral:rRNA from 1 species